AAUGCAUUUUGGAAUUGUCAUGGUGCAGCUUUUAGGUGGAAGCAGAAAAGACUAGCUCCUAGAAAUGGGAUCUGAAGUAAAAGUGACAAAUGCGACACCUUUGCAGCAUCCUGCUCCGGGGACAGUGUCAGGUGAGGAUUUUGACUGGGGCAGUACCCCCAUCAAACCGUAAGGCAGGUCUUUUAAGGCGAGCUCAGAGAGGAUGAAAACCUCCAGUGAAUGAGAAGGGGAAAAGCUUGCUUGGUCUUGAUUUUCAGAAUGAAUACGGACCGUGAAAGCAGGGCCUCAUGAUCCUUCUGACUUUUUGGGUUUUGCCCAAAAUCCCAUGUAUCCCUAACUCAUAUUACGUUUACGCCUGUAGAUUGUGAAUGUUAUUUUUCAGAAAGAGGU
rnacentral:ncRNA from 1 species